CUGGAGGUUGAAGGAGACUGUUGACUGACCAUCUGCUGAGGCCUAGCUCUUGUCUGUGCACAGACCAGAUGCAUUAUGUCAUUACCCUUCCGAGAAGCCUACGGCCUGCUGCUGAGAGACUUGGAGAUGACCUGCUGGCCUGGAGUCACACUGUUAGAACCCUGAAGCCUGUAGAUGGAACAGAGGUCACCAGCAAGCCGAGAACCAGGGUGGUCCAGACCUUCUGAUACCCCCAGAGGCCUCAUCCAGGCUUAAGGGAGAGCUGGAUUUCAGGCUGUUCCACUUUGGGUCGAGGGACCAUGGCAACAGCCUGGGGAAGACGCAGGAAGUAGGGCCCACAACAAGUCUGUGGCUCUGGCAAUUGGCCACCUUUUUCUGUGGUUGUAACUGUAAAUAGUGUCUCCCAGCACUAAAAGUGUUUAACAAGCAGCUGUGUGUGACCCACACUGUAAAUGGACCUUUUAAUAAUAAAUAAGCACUUAUUUAACAGGUAAUGACAGUUUUAGUGCCCCCAGAAACUUCUUUAGCCUGGCAUCUUCUGCUCAGAUGUUUUGUCUAUUUUUUAAAUUUGCUUUAUCUCAUUGA